rnacentral:rRNA from 1 species
ACACGGAGCUUGCUCUGUGGGAUCAGUGGCGAACGCCUUAGUAACACGUGAGCAACCUGCCCCUGACUCUGGGAUAAGCGCUGGAAACGGCGUCUAAUACUGGAUAUGUGACGUGACCGCAUGGUCUGCGUUUGGAAAGAUUUUUCGGUUGGGGAUGGGCUCGCGGCCUAUCAGCUUGUUGGUGAGGUAAUGGCUCACCAAGGCGUCGACGGGUAGCCGGCCUGAGAGGGUGACCGGCCACACUGGGACUGAGACACGGCCCAGACUCCUACGGGAGGCAGCAGUGGGGAAUAUUGCACAAUGGGCGAAAGCCUGAUGCAGCAACGCCGCGUGAGGGAUGACGGCCUUCGGGUUGUAAACCUCUUUUAGCAGGGAAGAAGCGAAAGUGACGGUACCUGCAGAAAAAGCGCCGGCUAACUACGUGCCAGCAGCCGCGGUAAUACGUAGGGCGCAAGCGUUAUCCGGAAUUAUUGGGCGUAAAGAGCUCGUAGGCGGUUUGUCGCGUCUGCUGUGAAAUCCCGAGGCUCAACCUCGGGCCUGCAGUGGGUACGGGCAGACUAGAGUGCGGUAGGGGAGAUUGGAAUUCCUGGUGUAGCGGUGGAAUGCGCAGAUAUCAGGAGGAACACCGAUGGCGAAGGCAGAUCUCUGGGCCGUAACUGACGCUGAGGAGCGAAAGGGUGGGGAGCAAACAGGCUUAGAUACCCUGGUAGUCCACCCCGUAAACGUUGGGAACUAGUUGUGGGGUCCAUUCCACGGAUUCCGUGACGCAGCUAACGCAUUAAGUUCCCCGCCUGGGGAGUACGGCCGCAAGGCUAAAACUCAAAGGAAUUGACGGGGACCCGCACAAGCGGCGGAGCAUGCGGAUUAAUUCGAUGCAACGCGAAGAACCUUACCAAGGCUUGACAUAUACGAGAACGGGCCAGAAAUGGUCAACUCUUUGGACACUCGUAAACAGGUGGUGCAUGGUUGUCGUCAGCUCGUGUCGUGAGAUGUUGGGUUAAGUCCCGCAACGAGCGCAACCCUCGUUCUAUGUUGCCAGCACGUAAUGGUGGGAACUCAUGGGAUACUGCCGGGGUCAACUCGGAGGAAGGUGGGGAUGACGUCAAAUCAUCAUGCCCCUUAUGUCUUGGGCUUCACGCAUGCUACAAUGGCCGGUACAAAGGGCUGCAAUACCGUGAGGUGGAGCGAAUCCCAAAAAGCCGGUCCCAGUUCGGAUUGAGGUCUGCAACUCGACCUCAUGAAGUCGGAGUCGCUAGUAAUCGCAGAUCAGCAACGCUGCGGUGAAUACGUUCCCGGGUCUUGUACACACCGCCCGUCAAGUCAUGAAAGUCGGUAACACCUGAAGCCGGUGGCCUAACCC